rnacentral:lncRNA from 1 species
AUGGGAAGCAAAGCUCUGCAGAACACCCUGCAGGGUGUGCUUCCUGUCUGCAGUUGUAUUAGCACACACAGAAACCUCACCGCUGCCAAAUUAAACCACCUGGGAAUGAAGAUAGCUACCCAGGAAAGUUGGCUCCCACCCACCCCAACCCAAAGUCCAGCAUCCUUCUCUCUCCAUCCAGACCUGACAACUGCCACCAGAAGAUAUACUGGGUCCCAGCACCAGAUCCACGUCCUGGGCCCACCACCAGUCAGGGGUAGGUGGUCCCUGACAAUGCAGAGGGAAUGUGUCAUUCGCCCCCCACUCCCCCUUGCAUAUAUCCCUGGAUCUGCAAGCCCCCCAUCCUACCCAUCGCAUGAGCACCUGAGAGGGGUUGGGGCAUGGACAGUACCUGGCUGGCAUGGGCCGGGGGGCCCUGCCGCUCAGCCACAGCUACUCCCAGCUUCAGCACUUGCCAUCUCGAGGGAAGGAGCAGCCUCCCGUCUCCUGGAGAGCACACAGAGAAGGCAGCUGCGCUUCACUCACGCUGGAGCGGGUUCCUAUGGCGAUGCAGAAUCAAUUAUAAUAAAAGGUGGAGCACAGCAAUUGGAGCUGAGAGAAGUUUCAGGAGCUGCCUGCCUGGGAAAGCCAGGCUGUGGAAGAGAGCAGGGCUGGAGGCCGGGCCUGUCCAGCCCUAGAGUACAGCUCCUGAAUCCCAGUGCUCCCCUGCGUGCUCCCAGUUCUCCCAGUGCAGCACACAGGGGUGUGCCAGGCGCUCCUGAUGGUCCUGCCUGCACUUCCCAGAAGGGUGUCCAAGGCUUUGGGAGCAACGUGUAUGAUCCAGCUGCGAAUCUGCCUAGCACAGGCCUGCACACUCCCACCCUUCCCACCAUCCCCAUCAGACACGGAGGGCACAGAUCCCACUCUGAUAAGGCUUCAUGUAGCAGCAGGAUGGGCAGCCCUUGCUCCCACACACAACUUUCCUUCUGCAUAGCUCUCCAAAAGCUGUUCCAGUCCCAAGGGCACUAUGCCUAUGCUACCACCUCUUCUAACGCAUCCAAGACUCCUGUCUGUCCACACUGCCCGUGUCUGUCCCAGACCCACAGCCCCACUCCUGGCACACUGGGAUGUACUGGGGGAAGCAGAGCGUUCCUGCUCGGCAAGCACACUGCUGCUGUACAUGCAGUGCAGCCAGACCUGACUGCCUGCAGCACCAGGACCUAA